AAGACCUUGCACUUUUGGAGCGGCCGAUGUCUGAUUAGCUAGUUGGUGGGGUAAUGGCCUACCAAAGCUUCGAUCAGUAGCUGGUCUGAGAGGACGGCCAGCCACACUGGGACUGAGACACGGCCCAGACUCCUACGGGAGGCAGCAGUGGGGAAUUUUGGACAAUGGGCGCAAGCCUGAUCCAGCCAUGCCGCGUGAGUGAAGAAGGCCUUCGGGUUGUAAAGCUCUUUCAGCCGGGAAGAAAAGGUUGCGACUAAUAAUCGCAAUUCAUGACGGUACCGAAAGAAGAAGCACCGGCUAACUACGUGCCAGCAGCCGCGGUAAUACGUAGGGUGCGAGCGUUAAUCGGAAUUACUGGGCGUAAAGGGUGCGCAGGCGGUUUUGUAAGUCAYAUGUGAAAUCCCCGGGCUUAACCUGGGAACU
rnacentral:rRNA from 1 species